rnacentral:rRNA from 1 species
UAGGCUUCGGUGUCUGUGAUGAUGUUUGGGUUAAGUCCCGUAACGAGCGCAACCCUUGUCCUUAGUUACCAGCACGUUAUGGUGGGCACUCUAAGGAGACUGCCGGUGACAAACCGGAGGAAGGUGGGGAUGACGUCAAGUCAUCAUGGCCCUUACGGCCUGGGCUACACACGUGCUACAAUGGUCGGUACAGAGGGUUGCCAAGCCGCGAGGUGGAGCUAA